rnacentral:rRNA from 1 species
GCAGAACGCGAAGAACCUUACCUACUCUUGACAUCCAGAGAACUUAGCAGAGAUGCUUUGGUGCCUUCGGGAACUCUGAGACAGGUGCUGCAUGGCUGUCGUCAGCUCGUGUUGUGAAAUGUUGGGUUAAGUCCCGCAACGAGCGCAACCCUUAUCCUUUGUUGCCAGCGAUUCGGUCGGGAACUCAAAGGAGACUGCCAGUGAUAAACUGGAGGAAGGUGGGGAUGACGUCAAGUCAUCAUGGCCCUUACGAGUAGGGCUACACACGUGCUACAAUGGCAUAUACAAAGAGAAGCGACCUCGCGAGAGCAAGCGGACCUCAUAAAGUAUGUCGUAGUCCGGAUUGGAGUCUGCAACUCGACUCCAUGAAGUCGGAAUCGCUAGUAAUCGUGGAUCAGAAUGCCACGGUGAAUACGUUCCCGGGUCUUGUACACACCG